AAAGUUGUUGCAGUUAAAAAGCUCGUAGUUGAACCUUGGGCCUGGCUGGCCGGUCCGCCUCACCGCGUGCACUGGUCCGGCCGGGCCUUUCCCUCUGGGGAGCCCCAUGCCCUUUACUGGGCGUGGCGGGGAACCAGGACUUUUACUUUGAAAAAAUUAGAGUGUUCAAAGCAGGCCUAUGCUCCAAUACAUUAAAAUGGAAUAAUAGAAUAGGACGUGUGGUUCUAUUUUGUUGGUUUCUAGGACCGCCGUAAUGAUUAAUAGGGACAGUCGGGGGCGUCAGUAUUCAAUUGUCAGAGGUGAAAUUCUUGGAUUUAUUGAAGACUAACUACUGCGAAAGCAUUCGUCAAGGAUGUUUUCAUUAAUCAGGAACGAAAGUUAGGGGAUCGAAAACGAUCAGAUACCGUUGUAGUCUUAACCAUAACUAUGCCGACCAGGGAUCGGGCGGUGUUAUUAUUGACCCGCUCGGCACCUUACACGAAAGUACAGUUUCUGGGUCUG
rnacentral:ncRNA from 1 species